rnacentral:rRNA from 1 species
AUCUUGUACACACCGCCCGUCACGACAUGGAAGAUGGGUGCGCCAGAAGGACACGCCUCGCGUGUACCAAGGCGAAACCAUUGACUGGGUCG